GGUGAAAACUCUGCUCUAUUUGACAACACUCACAUGACCACUCGGGCUAAUGCAAUUGACCGGUCUAAUCAGCAUAGCCGUAUGGAUGAUGGAAGUCGUAUGGAUGAUGGAGAUGGCUUUGCCCAGCAUGAUGACAACACCCUCAUGGCUGAUGUAGUUGAUUGCAUUACCCAACAUGGUGACCACAAUCACAGUACCAGUGAAGGGCGAGAGGAGAGAAGGGUCAGGGGAAAUAAUAUGGGACUUGGUCUCCAAAAGUUAAACCGAG